rnacentral:rRNA from 1 species
AUUGAACGCUGGCGGCAUGCCUUACACAUGCAAGUCGAACGGCAGCACGGGAGCAAUCCUGGUGGCGAGUGGCGAACGGGUGAGUAAUAUAUCGGAACGUGCCCGGUAGUGGGGGAUAACUGCUCGAAAGAGCAGCUAAUACCGCAUACGACCUGAGGGUGAAAGGGGGGGAUCGCAAGACCUCUCGCUAUUGGAGCGGCCGAUAUCAGAUUAGCUAGUUGGUGGGGUAAAGGCCUACCAAGGCAACGAUCUGUAGUUGGUCUGAGAGGACGACCAGCCACACUGGGACUGAGACACGGCCCAGACUCCUACGGGAGGCAGCAGUGGGGAAUAUUGGACAAUGGGGGGAACCCUGAUCCAGCCAUGCCGCGUGUGUGAAGAAGGCCUUAUGGUUGUAAAGCACUUUAAGCGAGGAGGAGGCUCUUUUGGUUAAUACCCAAGAUGAGCGGACGUUACUCGCAGAAUAAGCACCGGCUAACUCUGUGCCAGCCGCCGCGGUAAAAC